GUAGGGAAUAUUGGGCAAUGGUCGGAAGACUGACCCAGCCAUGCCGCGUGCAGGAAGACGGCCCUCUGGGUUGUAAACUGCUUUUAUCUGGGAAGAAAAAGGCCAUGCGUGGCAAAUUGCCGGUACCAGAUGAAUAAGCACCGGCUAACUCCGUGCCAGCAGCCGCGGUAAUACGGAGGGUGCAAGCGUUGUCCGGAUUUAUUGGGUUUAAAGGGUGCGUAGGCGGCUGAAUAAGUCAGCGGUGAAAGACUCCGGCUUAACCGGAGCAGUGCCGUUGAUACUGGUUAGCUUGAGUGUUGGAGGGGUACAUGGAAUUGAUGGUGUAGCGGUGAAAUGCAUAGAUACCAUCAGGAACACCGAUAGCGAAGGCAUUGUACUGGCCAACAACUGACGCUGAUGCACGACAGUGUGGGGAUCGAACAGGAUUAGAAACCCCGGUAGUCC
rnacentral:rRNA from 1 species